rnacentral:rRNA from 1 species
CACGUAGGGACCAAGCGUUGUCCGGAUUCAUUGGGCGUAAAGAGCUCGUAGGCGGCUCAGUAAGUCGGGUGUGAAACCUCCAGGCUCAACCUGGAGACGCCGCCCGAUACUGCUGUGGCUAGAGUCCAGUAGGGGAGCGUGGAAUUCCUGGUGUAGCGGUGAAAUGCGCAGAUAUCAGGAGGAACACCAGCGGCGAAGGCGGCGCUCUGGGCUGGAACUGACGCUGAGGAGCGAAAGCGUGGGGAGCGAACAGG